rnacentral:rRNA from 1 species
CAUGCAAUGGGCCCGAAACCGGGUGACCUACCCAUGAUCAGGCUGAAGUGAAAGUAAAAUUUCAUGGAGGGCCGAACCGACCUCCGUUGAAAAGGCGGCGGAUGAAUUGUGGGUAGCGGAGAAAUUCCAAUCGAACUCGGAGAUAGCUGGUUCUCCCCGAAAUAGCUUUAGGGCUAGCCUCAUAUUAGAUACCCGGAGGUAAAGCACUGAAUGGCCUAGCGCCCGAGAGGGUAGCGAAGCCUAUCAAACUAAGAAUGCCGGAGUAUUGAUGUAUGGGAGUCAGACAGUGUGAGAUAAAUCUCAUUGUCAAAAGGGAAACAGCCCAGAUCUACAGCUAAGGUCCCAAAUUGUAUCUAAGUGGAAAACGAUGUGGAAAUACGCAGACAACCAGGAUGUUGGCUCAGAAGCAGCCACUCAUUUAAAGAGUGCGUAAUAGCUCACUGGUCGAGCGUCUCUGCGCGGAAAAUUUAACGGGGCUAAGAUACAAACCGAAGCUUAGGCUGCACGUAAGUGCGGGGUAGGGGAGCGUUGUGUAAGCGGAGAAACAGUAGCGUAAGCGGCUGUGGAGUUUACAGAAGUGAGAAUGCCGGAAUGAGUAGCGCGAAUGUGGUGAGAAUCCACAUGGCCGGAAACCUCAGGUUUUUGGAGGAAGGUUCGUCCGCUCCAAGUUAGGCGGGAGCUAAGGUAAGGCCGAAAGGCGUAGCCGAUGCACAGACGGUAGAGAUUCCGUCCCCACCGAAAGACUUAAGCACAGGGACACUUUCAGAAGGUCGGAGCCAGGUGUUGGUUCUGGUAGUGAUCGAGGGAAAUAUAGUACCGAAGUCCGGCUGGAAGAGAGGCGAGAAAAGCUGUGUGUAUGUUUAAGGUGCCCGUACCGCAAACCGACACAGGUAGGUAGGAAGAAGAUUCUAAGGCCAACGGGAGAAGGGUUGUUAAGGAACUCGGCAAAUUGACCCCGUAACUUCGGGAGAAGGGGUGCUCCAGAGAUGGAGCCGCAGAGAAUCGGCCCAAGCAACUGUUUACCAAAAACACAGGUUUGUGCUAAAUCGAAAGAUGACGUAUACGAGCUGACGCCUGCCCGGUGCUGGAAGGUUAAAAGGAGAUGUGCAAGCAUUGAAUUGAAGCCCCAGUGAACGGCGGCCGUAACUAUAACGGUCCUAAGGUAGCGAAAUUCCUUGUCAGGUAAGUUCUGACCCGCAUGAAAGGCGUAAUGAUUUGGGCACUGUCUCAACAGCCCGCCCGGCGAAAUUGUAGUACCGGUGAAGAUGCCGGUUACCCGCGACAAGACGGAAAGACCCCAUGGAGCUUUACUGUAGCCU